rnacentral:rRNA from 1 species
GUGGGGAAUUUUCCGCAAUGGGCGCAAGCCUGACGGAGCAAGACCGCGUGGGGGAGGAAGGCUCUUGGGUUGUAAACCCCUUUUCUCAGGGAAGAAGUUCUGACGGUACCUGAGGAAUCAGCCUCGGCUAACUCCGUGCCAGCAGCCGCGGUAAUACGGAGGAGGCAAGCGUUAUCCGGAAUUAUUGGGCGUAAAGCGUCCGUAGGUGGUGGGGCAAGUCGGCGGUUAAAGACUGGGGCUUAACUCCAGAAAGGCCGUGGAAACUGCACCACUAGAGGGCAGUAGGGGUAGAGGGAAUUCCCGGUGUAGCGGUGAAAUGCGUAGAGAUCGGGAAGAACACCAGUGGCGAAAGCGCUCUACUGGACUGCAACUGACACUCAGGGACGAAAGCUAGGGGAGCGAAUGGGAUUAGAAACCCCGGUAGUCC